CGAAGGGCCUAAGUGGGAGCUAGGGGUUCCUGAACCGCAAACCCUCUAUACGGCGGACGAACUCCGAAGGGAGGUUGUGAGGCCUUCUGCAAGUGGUAAUCGUCUGGUGAUGAAUAUUCGUCCUCUAAGGUCGAUGGCUAUGGGACGGUUCCCAUCAGGGAAUGGUUUCCGUAUUUACUGGGUUAAUCUGGCCAGGCUCGGAAGAGAGCAACCUACCCCCAGACGUUUGGCGCUUAGAGGGGUGCGGCUAUGAGUCGGAGGUUGCUUACUACAGAGGACACCCAUGAUCGAGCUUCGGUGGUCCUUCG
rnacentral:SRP_RNA from 1 species